UACGAAGGGGGCUAGCGUUGUUCGGAAUCACUGGGCGUAAAGGGCGCGUAGGCGGCUUUGUAAGUCGGGGGUGAAAGCCUGUGGCUCAACCACAGAAUUGCCUUCGAUACUGCAUGGCUUGAGACCGGAAGAGGUAAGUGGAACUGCGAGUGUAGAGGUGAAAUUCGUAGAUAUUCGCAAGAACACCAGUGGCGAAGGCGGCUUACUGGUCCGGUUCUGACGCUGAGGCGCGAAAGCGUGGGGAGCGAACAGG
rnacentral:rRNA from 1 species